CGUGUUUCUUCUUUCUCUGCCAUAUUGAUUGUACUUCGACGUAAGUGAGGAGAAGUUUGAGGAUUUGUAAUCCAAACUAAUCGAAAAUUCUAGUGUAAUUUUGAUUUCACAAAUCAAUAGAUAUGAGAGCUAAGUGGCGCAAAAAGAGGAUGCGGAGGUUAAAGCGUAAAAGGAGGAAGAUGCGUGCGAGGUCCAAAUAAUUUUCAUCAUUUUACACUUCUGUGCUAGUAAUAUGUUUAUCAAGUAAUAUCAACGAGAGUCAAGGAUCUUCUCUUCAAUAAAUUCAAAAUUUUUUAAUCAUGUUGUGGCACAGAGAAUUAUUUUAUAUCCGAAGGAUCUUGUGUAAUUUGGUUUAAUAAAAAUAACUUGAAGAUAAGUUUA